CCUAAUCACCAUAUGAUUAAAUAAAUUGAAAGUUUAACCAUUAAGAUAACUAAAUAACUAUAAAUUCUAGAAAGUGGACACCUCAUCAUUGUGUGAUUAGAUAUAUUGGAAGCUUAACUAUUAAGAUACUUAAAUAAUUCAACAAAAUUCUAGAAAGUCCUAUAAAUACUUACUAUAUGAGCACCUAAUCAACAUGUGACUAAAAUGACUUAAAAAAUAUUAAGAAAUAUCUAUCAAUCUAGAAUAUUUGAGAAUAGAGGUAGAAACUAGUAUAAAAGGGAGAAACUACACCAAAAGGCUCACCAAUAACACUUAACUAAGACAUAAACCAAGUCAAAGAAACGUUCAAAAAUACUCUAUCUUUGCUACAACCAAGAUGGAAAACAAGGAGUAAGCAACUAAAAUUUCAAGAAGAGAAAAAGAAAGAAAGAAGAUAGGAGGAAGAAAAAGAAGCAAGAAAAAAAGAAACCAAGGAAAUUAGGAUAAAACUAGUAAGCUUGGAGAAAUAGGUAUGUGUUAGAUAUUUAAUUUUAUUCAUGUCUUUAUAAUUGUAGAGUAAAACUUGAUUAUUACUUCUAAGUUUGGAUGCAUGGAUCCCUAGGUUAGAUGAUAUGGUUUCUAAUUGUAUUUAUUGAUAAAUUUGAUGUUUAAAGGUUGAAUCUUGAAGUGGUUGAUUUUUUAUGAUUGGAUGUUGUUAUUGAAUUUGUUUGAAUUGUAUUUGAAAAGUUUGAUUGAGAAUGAUUUUUGAAGAGAUAGAUUCAUAGUAAUGCAUGUUGCAUAUUGCAUAAUGUGGUUUGAGUCGAAAUAAUUUUUGGGGGAAAAGAAAAAAGUUUAUGAAAAUAUUUGAGAAAUGACUUUUAUAUCAAGGAUAAUUGAUAGAAAAAGAAUGAUUUUUGGAAUUUAGAAAUGAUGUUUUUUUUUUAAAUUCUUUUCUUUACAUUUACUAUCCGAGACAUUGGUGGAAGAGAUUGAUUGUGAUAGUGGAUACUGUUAAGGAUAGUUGACAAUAUGAGAUGGAAAUAAAAAAAAUAUAGAGUGAGAGAGAGCUUAAUAUGGUUGUGAAAGUUUAAUUGAGAUAUUUGUUUUAUGCUACCAAUAUUAGAAGAUAGUAAAUGAGAUUUGAGUAGAAUGGAUAAGAUAGGACCUCUAGUCUAAAAGAUAGAACUUUGAUCUAAGGAGUGUUAGGGCAUUGACAACCUUAUAGAUGACCAGUCUUUAUUUGGUUUUGUGCUAGUAAUCUGUUGGGUGCACUAAUACUCUGACUACUGUCUACUUAUUCAUAUUUAAUGGGGCAUUACUGAAUCAUUGGACAAAGUGAUGUUAAACUCUAGAUUCACUAAACACUCAAGAGGGAAAAUAUUCAUUGAGUAUUGAGUCAAAAUGAUUUUGAAAAGUAUAUUUUAAGUCAAAAUCUGCAUCUUAUAAGCAUAUUGCAUUAUUUGGACUAUUAUUAGUAAAAUAUCUUAUUAAGUUGUUGAGUGUGCAUUAGUAAUAGUAUGCAUAAAAACACAUAUUUCUUCUUUAUCUACCUCUCGACAUAUCCUUUCCCAUUUCUUGCAUUGCUAGGCUUCAAAAUAAAUGACUUUUAUAGGAACAACUACAUUCUUUAGCUCCAAGAAGAUGCAAAAAUGUUUUGUCAUUAGUAUAAUUGGAAAAGUAGCUAAGUAUUUUUUUGUUUACUAAAUCUUGAUAGUCAUAAUCAUUCAUAUUUGUUAUGGUUCUCAUAUUCUCAGUUAUCAUAAGAGGAGACCCUUCGAUUACAUUUAUGGGUGUCAACAAAGAUGUUUUUGGCCAUAUUUUGUUUGGUUUGUUGAGAAAUCCUAAUUAUAUUUUCUCCUCCUAGCUAAUAAGUUACAACUACUUCUUGUUGAAUUGGCCAAGAGAUAUUGGCCAUAUUCAAAAUUAUUAUAAGGUUAACACAGGUGGAAAUAAAAAGAAGAAAAAAUGUUUUUCAAAGGAAGAUUUACCUAUACGGUGAACCUUUUGAUCAAUUAGUCAUUAGGAAUCAAAACUACUAAAUCUAAAAACACUAUAAGAACUCAUGGUAAAUGUGGAAAUGCAUCUUGGUAGGUACUUGGUUGGUUAAAAAAAGAACCGAGGAAAAAAUUCUUAAAUCAAUUAAUGGAUACUCAUAUAGUAGAGGAUGCUUGAGAGCUAAGUACUUUGCUUAAGGGUUGAGUUUGUGUUUUAUAGGGCUGAAAAACCUGGGAGCCCAAAAGUCCCGACUCCUCAUCAUAACCAUUAGAUUGUCUUAAAAUCAACAAUCAAGGGAUCGUGACUUUCCCACUCCAAAUGAUGGGGAUGGGAAACAUCAUAGAUGAUAGGUUGAUGCACAUGAUAACCCUAAAGGCGGUGCAUUAAAUGUUGGGAUUUGACACUCUUCAAAACAAAUUUGUCUUGGUAAUUGACAACCUUUGCACAUACUCAACUUUAUUGGAAGUCUUUUCAUACCAAAAUCAGGACUUGAAGACUUAUCUACCAAAUAUGAUUUAGACACCUUAUUGAAGGACUAAAUAUUCUACAAUGAACGAGUAGUAUUCAGAUAUCUGAUUCAAAGCUUGAAUAAGGUUCAAUUUUGACAACUAUUUGAAUCAACGAAGAUGAUUAUGUAACCAUCAUUGUCGUUCAUCAUUAUCAUUGGAACACAAAACACAUUUAUUACAUCAAUAAAUGAAAGCUAUGUAUCCUCAUAUUGUAUAUUAAGCCUUUUGUUCAAACAUUUGGUACUUUUUCAUAUCCUAUUAAUUUAUGUUAAAUCAAAAGAUGAUUUUGGAUCCCUCAAGCUUUCGAGUUUUGAUGUUAAUAGAAAAUGUUUUUGCAAAAUACAAAUCAAAAGAAGCAUAAAGAUUCAAAUCAUUAGAUAGACGAUUUGUCAUAAGAUGAAACAUAUAGUUUGAUUUCAUAAAGUCUUAAAUGCAUUUCAUUUAUAAUGACAAAUAACUACUUGUUGCAUGACUAGUUGAUUCCUUAACUGAUCAACCUAUGAAAGCUCUUUGGAACUAAAAAUCUAUUAAAGUGAAUGAAGUCAUGCUUUACAUGAGAACCAAGGAAAAACAAAUCCUUAAAAUCAUAGAGAAAGUCAACAAAAGUCGAUGCAAAAUCUACUUUUUCUUGACACACGCUAUAGAUAGUUUGUUUGGCAUCCUAAAGUUGAUAAGAAGUGAAAAUUUGGUGAAACACAUUUAAUGCAUCAACAAGCACUUCUUAUCUCAAGGAACCUAUAACGAAGACAGAUGAAACAAGUUUGUGAUGAACCUUUAAGGUUUUGCAAUGCUCAUCUUAAUUAGAGCUAUUAUAUAAGAAGCUUCAUGAUUAAAAAGAAAAAAGAACUUUUGAAGAAAUAUUUUUAAAAGAACUUUUAUACAAAUUACUAUUGAUUCUUUCUAUAAAAACUUCUAUUCUUAAUUGGUUGUACCACAUCUUGUUUGUAAGAUGAAACAUUUGUAAAACUUUACCCAAAUAUAAUUGUUGUUAGGAUUGAGCAUGGAGAGACUUGUUUAUAAAAGAAUACUUGUUUGAGCCUAAAGAGACUUGUCUAUAAAAAAAUACGUAUUUGAACCUAGAGAGGCUUGUCUACAAAAUAAUACUUGGUGUUGAAGCCUAGAAAGGCUUUAUGUGAAAAAAAUACUUGGGUAGAUUGCUUAAAGAGACUAUUCAAAGAAAACUUAGGUUUGAGCCAGAAGUGGCUUGUUGAAAGAACACUUGUAUCAUGUUUAAGAUAAUGGAACUUAAUCUAGUUAGAUUGAGAACUGGACGUAGUCUCGAUGGUUGAGAUGAGCCAUUAUAAAAUUACCUUGUGUUUUGUUUGCCUCUUUUUCAUCACUCUUUACUGUUAGUGUCACUACUUCUCUACUUGAGAAAGUGUGAGUUUUUGACUGAAACUAUUCAACCCCCUUUUAGUGUCUGUCUAUUCUCUACACUUUGGUAUCAAAGCUCAACCUUUGACAAAAUUGAGCAUCUAACUGUGCUAAAGGAAAAAGAUCUAUUAUGGGAUGUAGUGAAGGCCAGUAUCUACCAAAGUGAGCUUCUUUUAUAUGGCCUUCGACCUUUAAUGAAGAAGACUACCCAUAUUGAAAGUGAAGAUGUUCAUAAAAUCCACCCAAUACCACCUUUGGAAGAUUAUCACUCAAGGUGAUGUAGUUGUUACCAAGCAUAAGAGCCAACACAAUCAAGACGACUACAACAUUUUGCUACUUAACACAAAAGCCAUGUACAUUUUUGGCUUUCUCUUUGUCUAAAAUUGAAUACAAGAAGUUCUGCAGCUACUCAACGACCAAAGAAAUGUGGGAAGUUAUCAGAGUAACUCAUGAGGGUACUAAGGAUACGAAACUUAGAUGAGUUGCCACUCUUCAAAUACACUAUGAGUUAUUUUCCAUGAAGGAAAAUGAAACCAUUGAUGAAAUGUUUGGAAGAUUCUAAAAAAUUCUAAAUAGGUUAAAAUCCCUAGGAAUUGAAUUUUCAAAAAUGCAGAAUAAUCUUAAGAUCUUGGAUCGUCUUCCAAAGGUCUAGGAGCCCAAUAACUCAAAUGAUAGUUUCGAGAACUCGACAGACGAUGAGAUAUCUCUCAUGUCUAAGAAGUUCAAAAGACAUGCUGAAUAAAAAAGAUUGAGAAACUUCCACAAAAAGAAAGACAAUUUCAAGAAACCUGGUCAGAAUGAUAAUAAGAAGGUCAUCUACUAUGAGUGUAAGAAGCUAGGACAUAUGAAGGGUGAACAUCCUACACUUAUAAAAUGAUGGACCAUUAAAAAGAAGGCCAAAAAAAAGCUAGAUGGCCACUCAGAAAGAUUUGCACAACAACAAUUUAGACAAGAAGAAAGCCAACAUCUACCUCAUGGCAAACGCUAACUCUAAAUCAAAUGAUAUAGAGGUUGAGGUAAAUUAUAAUUCCAACUCUUGUUCAUCUGGUUUUGAUGAGAAAGAUAUGUCUUAUGAGACUCUCUUUGUAAACUCUCACAUGAUCUCUCUUGUGUAUAAGAAAUUAAAAGAGAAAUAUAAAAUUUUACAAAAUGAGAAUGAUAAACUCAAGAAAGAUAGGUCAGACACUACAAGAGAGAUAAAAACUCUCAAAGAAAAGAUCAUUAGCAAUAUCCUACCUAAGGUUAUAGCAUUAGAAGAUAAAACCAUAAAACUUAGCAAGGACCUAACUAAAUUUGUUGAUGGGUUUUGUAAAAUAAACAUGCUUUUAAAACAUAAAAGACUUUCAUCAAAAGAAAGUGAUAUUGGCUUUGAUCUUGGAUCUGGGACAUCUCAAUCCAAACUCAAGACCACUUUCCACAAGGCCAGGGGAAAAGGAGGACAAACUCCAGGUAGAUGGAAAUAUUAGUUUAAUGUUGUUGGUACUAAUAGGAAAGGAUCCAAAAAUAUUUGGAUACCAAAGUCACAAAUAAUUUUUUUUGUAGAUAUACUUGGUGGGAAAAAGGAAGGAUUCACACUAGUAUCUGGAUAGUAGUUGCUCAUGACACAUGACAGGAGAAAGGUCUAUGUUCUUAGACAUUCAACCUUAUGAAGGAUCCAUCUCAUUUGGAGGAAGCAAAAAUAAGUAAGAUAGACUUUGUUGGAGACCAAAUUGAAAGAGAAAGUACAAGUGGAGGAUGUCAUUUCCACUAUAGAGGCAGAGCACAUUUUUGCAGCAGAGUGUUGCUUACAACUCCUAUGGG